AUUUAUAAUGAAUAAAUAUAUUAGAUUAUUAAAAGUUAUGAUCUUAAAAUUUAAAAAAUUUGGCGGUAUUUUAAUCUAUUUAGAGGAACUUGUUUUAUAAUUGAUAAUCCACAUUUUAUCUUAUUUAGUUUUGUUUAAUUUGUAUAUCGUUGUCAUAAGAAAAUCUUAAAAAAGAAAAAAUUUUCUAAUAGAAAAAUUUUUUUAUAUGUCAGAUCAAGGUGCAGUUUAUAAUUGAAUAAAAAUGAGUUACAAUUAAAAUUAAUAAAUUAUGAAUUUUUAAUUUAAAUAUUUAAAUGAAAGAGGAUUUAAUAGUAAAUUUUAUAAGAGAGUAAAAUUGACUUUAGUUCUAAAAUAUGU
rnacentral:rRNA from 1 species